rnacentral:lncRNA from 1 species
AGCUACAGAUAACAUCCCUUUGUUCUCCCAGUGACUCCACACCCACAGAAGGAGAGGGGGAUGAAGAAAUCUGCCAGGAGGGUGCCUCCCGCCAGUAUCUGAUGAAGGUAAGAGCUCUCCUUUGGAGUAAUAUGUUGUCUGUGCCAAGGAUGGAAUGAAAACAGAGUAUGAUGGCUCAUCUUGACUUUUUCCUUACUUACAAAUGGAGAGCCCCAAAGUCCAAAUCCUUGGACCAGCUAUCCCCCAACUUCCUCCUUAGGGGCAGAAGGAGGAAAUGGAUCCAGCCAGAAGGAUCAGAGAGUGUCAGAAGAUCUGGAAACUUCCUCCGUAGGGCCAAAGCCUCAAAAUAUGCCAUUCUAUUCUGGGGAAUGCCAUUUCUAUUCAGGGCUCCAUCCAUCAAAUGGAAAUGGGACUCUAGGCUACUUUCCCAUCUCCCAGGAAUUUGGAUGCCUAGAACACAACAAUUCUUUUAAUCUUCUAAGUUAAAAAAAAAAAAUUCGGGGACAGGUGCAGUGGUUCACUCUUGUAAUCCCAGCAGUUUGGGAGGCCGAGGUGGGCAGAUCACUUGAGGCUAGGAGUUGAAGGCCAGCCUGGGCAACAUAGUAAGACCCUAUCUCUCAAAAAAAAAAAAAAAA